rnacentral:rRNA from 1 species
GAUGAACGCUGGCGGCGUGCCUAAUACAUGCAAGUCGAGCGAACGGACGAGAAGCUUGCUUCUCUGAUGUUAGCGGCUGACGGGUGAGUAACACGUGGAUAACCUACCUAUAAGACUGGGAUAACUUCGGGAAACCGGAGCUAAUACCGGAUGAUAUUUUGAACCGCAUGGUUCAAAAGUGAAAGACGGUCUUGCUGUCACUUAUAGAUGGAUCCGCGCUGCAUUAGCUAGUUGGUAAGGUAACGGCUUACCAAGGCAACGAUGCAUAGCCGACCUGAGAGGGUGAUCGGCCACACUGGAACUGAGACACGGUCCAGACUCCUAAGGGAGGCAGCAGUAGGGAAUCUUCCGCAAUGGGCGAAAGCCUGACGGAGCAACGCCGCGUGAGUGAUGAAGGUCUUCGGAUCGUAAAACUCUGUUAUUAGGGAAGAACAUAUGUGUAAGUAACUGUGCACAUCUUGACGGUACCUAAUCAGAAAGCCACGGCUAACUACGUG